rnacentral:rRNA from 1 species
ACUUUCUUACACCGAAUGCUUGCAUUCACCGUAAGAAGUUGAGUGGCGGACGGGUGAGUAACACGUGGGUAACCUGCCUAAAAGAAGGGGAUAACACUUGGAAACAGGUGCUAAUACCGUAUAUCUCUAAGGAUCGCAUGAUCCUUAGAUGAAAGAUGGUUCUGCUAUCGCUUUUAGAUGGACCCGCGGCGUAUUAACUAGUUGGUGGGGUAACGGCCUACCAAGGUGAUGAUACGUAGCCGAACUGAGAGGUUGAUCGGCCACAUUGGGACUGAGACACGGCCCAAACUCCUACGGGAGGCAGCAGUAGGGAAUCUUCCACAAUGGACGCAAGUCUGAUGGAGCAACGCCGCGUGAGUGAAGAAGGUCUUCGGAUCGUAAAACUCUGUUGUUAGAGAAGAACACGAGUGAGAGUAACUGUUCAUUCGAUGACGGUAUCUAACCAGCAAGUCACGGCUAACUACGUGCCAGCAGCCGCGGUAAUACGUAGGUGGCAAGCGUUGUCCGGAUUUAUUGGGCGUAAAGGGAACGCAGGCGGUCUUUUAAGUCUGAUGUGAAAGCCUUCGGCUUAACCGGAGUAGUGCAUUGGAAACUGGAAGACUUGAGUGCAGAAGAGGAGAGUGGAACUCCAUGU